CAGAGUUGCAAGAUUCCCUAAACCAUUGUGAACCUACCUUCUACCGUUGCUUCGGCGGGCGGGCCCAGCGCCCCCCCGGCCCCCCGCGGGCGCCCGCCGGAGGAUACCCAAACUCUUGACAUUAGUGGCCUCUCUGAGUAUUCUUUACUGAAUAAGUCA
rnacentral:misc_RNA from 1 species